UAUAAUGGGUCAGCGACUUAUAUUCUGUAGCAAGGUUAACCGUAUAGGGGAGCCGAAGGGAAACCGAGUCUUAACUGGGCGUUAAGUUGCAGGGUAUAGACCCGAAACCCGGUGAUCUAGCCAUGGGCAGGUUGAAGGUUGGGUAACACUAACUGGAGGACCGAACCGACUAAUGUUGAAAAAUUAGCGGAUGACCUGUGGCUGGGGGUGAAAGGCCAAUCAAACCGGGAGAUAGCUGGUUCUCCCCGAAAGCUAUUUAGGUAGCGCCUCGUGAACUCAUCUUCGGGGGUAGAGCACUGUUUCGGCUAGGGGGCCAUCCCGGCUUACCAACCCGAUGCAAACUACGAAUACCGAAGAAUGUUAUCACGGGAGACACACGGCGGGUGCUAACGUCCGUCGUGAAGAGGGAAACAACCCAGACCGCCAGCUAAGGUCCCAAAGUCAUGGUUAAGUGGGAAACGAUGUGGGAAGGCCCAGACAGCCAGGAUGUUGGCUUAGAAGCAGCCAUCAUUUAAAGAAAGCGUAAUAGCUCACUGGUCGAGUCGGCCUGCGCGGAAGAUGUAACGGGGCUAAACCAUGCACCGAAGCUGCGGCAGCGACGCUUAUGCGUUGUUGGGUAGGGGAGCGUUCUGUAAGCCGUUGAAGGUGGCCUGUGAGGGUUGCUGGAGGUAUCAGAAGUGCGAAUGCUGACAUAAGUAACGAUAAAGCGGGUGAAAAGCCCGCUCGCCGGAAGACCAAGGGUUCCUGUCCAACGUUAAUCGGGGCAGGGUGAGUCGACCCCUAAGGCGAGGCCGAAAGGCGUAGUCGAUGGGAAACAGGUUAAUAUUCCUGUACUUGGUGUUACUGCGAAGGGGGGACGGAGAAGGCUAUGUUAGCCGGGCGACGGUUGUCCCGGUUUAAGCAUGUAGGCGGAGGUUCCAGGUAAAUCCGGUACCUUUUAACGCUGAGGUGUGAUGACGAGGCACUACGGUGCUGAAGUAACAAAUGCCCUGCUUCCAGGAAAA
rnacentral:rRNA from 1 species